UGCUUGGGUGCGGCCCCGGUCCAAGUCCCYUGGAACAGGGCGUCGCAGAAGGGUGAGAAUCCCGUACGCGGCCGAUGGCCAAGCCCAUGUGAAGCCCUUUCGACGAGUCGAGUUGUUUGGGAAUGCAGCUCUAAAUGGGUGGUAAAUUUCAUCUAAAGCUAAAUAUCUGCCGGAGACCGAUAGCGCACAAGUAGAGUGAUCGAAAGAUGAAAAGCACUUUGAAAAGAGAGUCAAACAGUACGUGAAAUUGUUGAAAGGGAAGCGCUUGCAACCAGACUCGUUCGCGGGUGCUCAGCCGUCCCUCGGGGCGGUGCACUCUCCCGCGUUUCGGGCCAGCAUCGGUUUUGGCGGCCGGAUAAAGGCCCCGGGAACGUAGCUCUCUUCGGGGAGUGUUAAGCCCGGGGUGCAAUGCGGCCAGCCGGGACCGAGGACCGCGCGUUCGCUAGGAUGCUGGCGUAAUGGUUGCCAGCGACCCGUCUUGAAACACGGACCAAGGAGUCGACCAAUCUGGCGAGUUUUAGGGCAUGAAACCCUGAAGCGCAAUGAAAGUGAACGUAGGUGGGAGCCCCCGGGUGCACCAUCGACCGAUCCUGAUGUCCUCGGAUGGAUUUGAGUAUGAGCCCGGUUGGUCGGACCCGAAAGAUGGUGAACUAUGCGUGAAUAGGGUGAAGCCAGAGGAAACUCUGGUGGAGGCUCGCAGCGGUUCUGACGUGCAAAUCGAUCGUCAAAUUUGCGCAUAGGGGCGAAAGACUAAUCGAACUAUCUAGUAGCUGGUUCCCGUCGAAGUUUCCCUCAGGAUAGCAGCAACGAAAACAGUCUCAUGAGGUAGAGCAAACGAUUAGAGGUCUUGGGGUUGAAAUCGACCUUAACCUAUUCUCGAACUUCGAAUAUGUGAGAAGUCCUUGUUACUUAGUU
rnacentral:rRNA from 1 species